rnacentral:rRNA from 1 species
GACGAACGCUGGCGGCGUGCUUAACACAUGCAAGUCGAACGGAAAGGCCUUGCUUUUGUGGGGUGCUCGAGUGGCGAACGGGUGAGUAACACGUGAGUAACCUGCCCUUGACUUUGGGAUAACUUCAGGAAACUGGGGCUAAUACCGGAUAGGAGCUCCUGCUGCAUGGUGGGGGUUGGAAAGUUUCGGCGGUUGGGAUGGACUCGCGGCUUAUCAGCUUGUUGGUGGGGUAGUGGCUUACCAAGGCUUUGACGGGUAGCCGGCCUGAGAGGGUGACCGGCCACAUUGGGACUGAGAUACGGCCCAGACUCCUACGGGAGGCAGCAGUGGGGAAUAUUGCACAAUGGGCGGAAGCCUGAUGCAGCAACGCCGCGUGCGGGAUGACGGCCUUCGGGUUGUAAACCGCUUUCGCCUGUGACGAAGCGUGAGUGACGGUAAUGGGUAAAGAAGCACCGGCUAACUACGUG